CCAGAGAAAAUAAAGAAGAGCUUCUAAGUAUACGAGUGAAAGAUAGACCUUGGGGAGAUGGAGCUCAGGCAGAUGUUGAGGCGCCAGACGUAGACGUUUUUCAAAAUUUUAACGAAACUUACGUUUGAUGGUGGCUGAAAAUAUUCAAGCGAAGACUCAAGAUGGGUGCAGCAUGAAGAAUUAAACUAAAGUUGGAUAAUAAUCUGGUUCAUUGCAUCUCAGUCUAGAGACUACCAAACGUGUCAUCGUCGAUUCAACGGGGUUGAUGUCUACCCGCGUAUUUGCAUCGUUAGGCUGAAGCCGGUUGUUAAAACCCAGCGUUGGCGCUGAGCUGUCCUGGUGAAAACGUGGGUUCUUGAAGCUUUCACGGAGAAUUUACCUCGGGAGGUGUGACAUCACUUGGGCGCAAUAAAAUAAAAAAAGCAUACAGGUCAAUUCGCUAUCCAACGAGGAACGAGAGUCUGCUGCUUAUUCCUCCCCGGAAAAUUAGGAAUUGCCAAUAUUAAUCCAGAGUUUCCAGUCGGUGUCGUACUAAACACCGACCUGACUACUUACGAGGGUUUCUAUCACUUAAGAGGGUAAAAAAGAGCCCGAGGUUCUCUUGAGAUUGUUGACGUCUACUAAAGAUAAGUUCAUUAGACGGCCAAUAAAUAAUUCGUGAUAACGACGACUAAUUAUUUUUAUACACUGAUAGAAGGAUUUGUUUAUAGUUAAAAAUAUUUGUUAAUAUUUAACAAAUCAUUUAUU